AAAUCUAUCUUCCAAUUAACUAUUGAUGUAUGCACCUAUCUGUCUAUUAAGUUUUCUUUAUUUCUCUUUCUUUCUACCAAUCUUUCUCUCUUUAUCUUUCUGAUUGAAUCUUUUUCUAACCUUGUCUGUAAGUUUGUUAAUGUAUGUAUGUUUGUAUCCAUCUAUUCAUCCAAUCACCUAUUUAUCCAUUCAUAUCUCUAUCUUUCUAUCUUUGUCUAUCUAUCCAUCUGUCUCUAUUUCUCUAUGUAUGUAUACAUCUAUCCAUUCAUCCAUCUAUGAAUCUAUUGCUCUUUUUAUCUCUAUAUUUCUCUUUCUACCAAUCUCUCUUUCUGUCUCUUUGUUAAACGUUCUGUGUCUUUAUGUACAUAUGUAUGUAUGCAUGUAUAAAUGUAUGUUUCUAUCUAUCCAACCAUCAAUCUAUUAGUCCAUCUAUCCAUGCAUGCAACUAUCUCUACUUCCAUCUCUCUGGCUAUCCAUCCAUCCAUCCAUGUAUCUAUGCAUCUGUCAAUCUAUCUUGAUAUUUUUCUUUUUACACUUCUUUCUCUCUGUCCGUCUUUUUCUAAUGUUCUAUUUGUUUGUUUCUCUAUGUACAUAUGUAUGCAUGAAUGCAUGUAUUUAUCCAUCUAUCCAUCAAUUUAUGCAUUCAACUAUCUGUACAUGCAUCUUUCUAUCAAUCUCUCUUUUAAACUCACUUCCUACCAAUCUUUCUGUCUGUCUCUAUUUCUCCAUAUAUGUAUUUAUGUGUAUGUAUGUAUGAAUCUAUACAUCCAUCAAUCCAUCUCUCUGUAUCAAUCUAACCAUCCAUCCAUUUCUCUAUUCCUUUCCAUCUGUAUUCCUAUCAUCUAUCCCUCUAUCUAUACAUUCAUCUUUAUUUUUAUCUUUCUUUCUACCAAUAAUUCUUUAUCUCAAUCUUUUUUCUUUCUAAUUGUAUAUUUUUUCUACGUUUGUCUAUGUAUGUAUACACGAAUAUAUUCAUAUAUAUCUUUCAAUUUAUCUAUCUAUAUAUCAAUCUAUCCAUCUCUCUGUGAAUGUGUCAUUCUAUUCAUUCAUCAAUCUGUCUGUUUCUCUUUCUCUAUCCAUCUGUCUGUAUCUAUUUCUCUAUGUAUGUAUGAAUGUAUAUAUUCAUGUAUAUAUAUAUAUAUAUAUAUCCAUCCAUCAUUCUGUCUCUGUAUCCAUCUUUGUCUAUCUAUCUUCCUAUCAUCACUCUAUCCAUCCAUCUAUCCAUCUAGCUGCCUGCCUCUAUUUCUCUAUCUAUAUAUGUGUCUACCUA
rnacentral:lncRNA from 1 species